rnacentral:rRNA from 1 species
CCUACGGGAGGCAGCAGUGAGGAAUAUUGGUCAAUGGGCGGGAGCCUGAACCAGCCAAGCCGCGUGAGGGAAGAAGGUACAGCGUAUCGUAAACCUCUUUUGUCAGGGAACAAAGGCGGGGACUAGUCCCCGUAUGAGGGUACCUGUAGAAAAAGCAUCGGCUAACUCCGUGCCAGCAGCCGCGGUAAUACGGAGGAUGCGAGCGUUAUCCGGAUUUAUUGGGUUUAAAGGGUGCGCAGGCGGCCUGUUAAGUCAGCGGUAAAAGCCCGGGGCUCAACCCCGGCGAGCCGUUGAAACUGGCGGGCUGGAGAGGGAGAGCAGUAGGCGGAAUGCGCGGUGUAGCGGUGAAAUGCUUAGAUAUCGCACAGAACCCCGAUUGCGAAGGCAGCGUACCGGCUCCACACUGACGCUGAGGCACGAAAGCGUGGGUAGCGAACAGGAUUAGAUACCCGAGUAGUC